UAGGGGGUAGCUAAUAAAGUACUUCACUUACAAUGGAGGGAUCGUCCAUAAGGAUGUCUUCUAA
rnacentral:tRNA from 1 species